rnacentral:misc_RNA from 1 species
CCGCAGACGGCAGUUCCCUCAACAGAUAUCCACAACCGACAGUUCAUAAAAACAUGGCUGCCAGCGACGACGAGCCGAUGCACCUCUACGAGGUUUUUCAAAAUUGUUUUAAUAAAAUAGCCAACAAACAACCCGAAAAGCCAGGCUUCCAAUCACCGUACGGACCAACAAUGGACAAUGGAAUGGCGUAUGGUGGCGGUGCAUUCGGCCCAGCGGCGAACGGCCCAGGCAGUGGUCCAGGUGGCGGAGGUGGAACAACAGUCGAAGGCGCAACAUAUCCUCCGGAUUCUCCUUAUUUUCCUUUUGGGACACGGGGAGUUCCUCCACCCUCGGUUGGCACCCCGACCUCAGCGUCUAAUCCUGCUACGCCGACAGGAAACACUGCACGGUUACCAAAUUCCGGCGCCGCUGCCGUCAAAAGAAAGAAAGACAGCUUGGACAGCGCAGACGGGGAAGUGGUCACAACGCAACACUGGUACGGCUCAGACGAAUUCGGCCAGGACUCUCCAAGGUACACUUCGCCGAAGGCAACCACCCUCUACGCGGAGCCCUACUAUAUCGAUGGAAAUUCCGCGGGAACGGGUCCAGGGGAUCCUUGGAAUGGAAGCGGAGUUCAGCCGCCAUACAGCGGAUAUGCUCCUCCACACCUGGCACAACCUGCCUACCCUAUGCACAUAGCACACGACCCCAUGUCAUACUCGGCGAUGUCACCCAACGGAGAACCACCAGCCCCAAUCCUUGGUUCCACGGUGACAAGUGCCGCGUCUUUACCCCCAAUGUCCACCUUCAGAGGCAGCGCCGCGGUCGCUGCGUCCGGAGGAACUGGAGCACCUUCUCCAGCGUCGUUACAGUAUAAUCACAGUCCUGGGGCGCCUGCACCGGCACCCACUACUGCCAGUGCACAGCAAAAUCAAACUACCACUGCUGAUAGUCUAGGAAAAACACUUGCGUCUGUAGUAAGCACACGAAUCUAUCCGACGGACCAAUCGGUAUCCAGUUAUAGUAGUAAUCCCUCGACGCCAGUCAGUUCCCCGCCACCAUUAACAGGUUCAGCCCCGAGUUGGGCGCCAGGUGCGACACCAGUCUCCCCGCACUUCACAGCGGAUCCAAACCGCGGUACAAUCCACAUGCCGGCGCCCGAACAACAGAGGUUAGACGAUGCCAUCGGCUUUCUUCGCGACCAUGCCGAGUUGGUACAGGGAUCCCGGAUGGAGGAACGGUUAGACGACGCGAUCAACGUCCUCAGAAAUCACGCCGAGAGUCAGCUCGGGCUUCAUCUAGGUCCCGUGGGUCCCCAUGGCGGUCUUUACUCUCAUACAUCUCCAUCGCAGCUGGAUCACCUGGCGAGUCCUCAUCCAGCGGUAACGGUAGCACAACCUCAAGGAACAUAUCCCGGACUCGCUCCUACGCCAGAUACUGACGGUUCGAUAAAAAUCGAGAGGUUACCUGUCUCCAAUGCAACAGAAUACAUAUCGCUGGAAAAAAGAAAAGACCCACCAGACAGCAGCGGAGGAGAAACAAAGGCGUCUAGUAGCGACCUCGCUGGUGGAGUGAUCGGUGGCGCCACUGUAAACUCGACCUCUCAGGGCAAAGGAACCAAGCGCUCGCGCAGAUAUUGUUCGAGCGCCGACGAAGACUGCGAUGAUCCUGGCACCAAAGCGGUGCGCGAAAAAGAACGUCGUCAAGCCAACAACGUUCGCGAAAGGAUACGGAUCAGAGACAUCAACGAGGCGCUGAAGGAGCUCGGGAGGAUGUGUAUGACACACCUCAAGACGGACAAGCCUCAGACCAAACUUGGGAUACUUAAUAUGGCUGUUGAGGUUAUAAUGACUUUGGAGCAACAAGUUAGAGAGCGAAAUUUAAACCCAAAAGCAGCUUGUUUAAAAAGAAGAGAAGAAGAAAAAGCUGAAGACGGUCCAAAAUUACCAGGCCACCUAGCGGCUCACAUAGGUCAUCCACAUUCGCAUCCUCACGCCCAUUCACAGCCGCCAUUUUCUACAAUGCCCGGUCCUCCACCAUCACUCCAACACAAUCAAGUCCAGCCGCAGUAGCAGAGGUUAACCGACGGCAUCGUCCUUUGUUAAAUAAUAAUAAAAUAAAAAAUAAAAAAGAGUGCAGUUCGUGUUCGCCUGUGAGAGACUUAAACACGUAAAUAUCAAGACUCGGGUAUCAAAGCGAUCCCACGUUUACUUAAAUAAGAUAAUAAAAGUUAUAUAUAAACAUAUAUAUGAAUAUGAACGAAAGAGUAUAUAUUAAAAAAAAAAAAAAAACAAAUAUAUACAAUAUGUAUAAAAUUUAAAAUAAGCGUCGUCGCGACGAAAAAAUGACCCGGUGAUGGUUAAUCUGGCGAAUCAAAUGUGUGCUAGAGGGUGCUCUUUUGUUCUUAUUAAUCUAGUUUAUUGUAUAUUGUUUCUUAUAAAUAUUGAUAUAAAUUGGAGGAGUUUCCUGACGGGUCCAAAUUACGGUAGAAUGCAAUUAGCUUUAUAAUUACAGUAUGCUAUCGUAUCUGUACGAUCAAAUACCGCAGUUAUAUUGUAGAAUAUGAUUAAACUACCGCAAUAUCGUAAUCUACAGUAGCUAUACGAUAGAUCUACCGUAUUUUAAUCGUAUAACUAUCUUAACUUAAUCAUAUGAUACGGUCACUGCAAUAUCGCAAUCGAUGGUAGCUAUACGGCAAAUGUACCGUAUUACUAUUUUAAUCUAACUAUACGGUUAAACUACCGCAAUAUCGUAAUCUAAGGUAGCUAUCCGGUAAAUCUAUCGUAUUUUAAUCGUAUAGCUAUCUCAACCUGUUUAUAUUGUAGAUAUACGGUAGAACAACUAUAAUCUACGGUAGCUAUACGGUAAAUCUACCGAAUAACUAUCUUAAACUAUAUCGUAGGAUAGUUAAACUACCACAAUAUCGUACUCUAAGGUAGCUAUCGGGUAAAUCUAUCGGUACUAAUGUCGGAAAUCUACUGUAUUUUAACCGUAUAACUAUCUUAAUAGUAAUCAUAUCGUAGAAUACGGUUGUCCCACUGCAAUACUGUAAUCUAUGAUAGCUAUACGGUAAAUCUACUGCGCUACCUUAAUAUACAGUAGCUAUCCGGUAAAUCUAUCGUAUUUUAAUCGUAUAGCCAUCUGAACCUAUUUAUAUCGUCGGUAACAAUAAAACUAUCUCAAUACCGUAAUUUACAGGAGCUAUACAAUAAAUCUACCAUAUUUUAAUCGUAUAGCUAUUUUAAACUAUUAAUAUGAUCGAUUACGGUAAAACUAAUGCUAUAACAUAAUCUAAAGUAGCUAUACGGUUAAAUUAUCGCGAUAGCGUAAUCUAAGAUAGCUGUACUGUUGCCGUAUAUUUACCUAAUGUAGCCUAUUUUUAUUUUAAAAUACGGUGAAACUACCAUAGUAUCGUAAUCUAAGGUAGCUAUCCGGUAAAUCUACCGUGUUUUAAUCGUAUAGCUAUCUUAGACCUGUUUAUAUUGUAGCUAUACGGUAAAACUACCAUAAUACCGUAAUCUAAGGUAGCUAUACGAUAAAUCUACCAUAUUUUAACCGUAAAACUAUCACUAUAACAUAAUCUACGGUAGCUAUACGAUUUAACUACCGCGACAGUGUAAUCUAAGAUAGCUAUACUGUAAAUCUAUCGUACCGUUGCCGUAAAUUUACCUAUUUGUAUCGUAGGAUACGGUAAAAUUGCUGCAACAUCGUAAUCGAUGGUAGCUAUCCGGUAAAUCUAUCGCACUACCGUAAUCUAAGGUAGCUAUACAAUAAAUCUACUGUAUUUUAAUCGUAUAGCUAUCUCAGACCUGUUUAUAUUGUAGCUAUACGAUGAAUCUACCACACUAUUGUAAUCUAAGGUAGCUAUACAAUAAAUCUACCGUAAUUUAGACCCGCUAGGAUAAUAAAAUAAUUGUGCAGCUAUCACGCACAAUCUGUAAUUGGAACCAAUUGGGAUAGACCGUUUAUAAAUAAUGGUAAUAAUAAUUCUAAUAAUUACUAAACAAAUACCGAUUGAUUUGUUUUUUAUAAUCAUAUCGGGAUCUAAUGACAAUAAAUAAGUAUUAUUCAUAUUGUAUGUUAUUAUGAAUAAACGGGACUCCUGAUACUAGAUAGGUUUUAUUUCAAUAGUAAUUUUUUUUUU